CCUUCUUCCUGCGCCCACCCCGCCCUCAGGAAUGCUGCAUGGCCUCCCCCGAGCGGCGGUGGGAGCCUCGGCCCGGGAGAGCCCGCUUAGGGGCAGGAAGUGGCCCGGCCCUCCUUGUGGAGGGCGUUUCCGGAGCGCCUACUGUGCUCCUCGCUGGGGUGGGGGUCGUUACCGAAGGGGGAACGCCUGGAAAUUCUAACUUUUGUCAGUUCGCGCCCCGCACCAGACGUCCUGCCGGCUUUUCGAUUCCUCUCAUUGCCUCGAGGGGAAACUGAGGCCAGUUAGUCUGGGCAGUUAACCGCAGCUGAUAAAGGACUGGGCUGUGAUGGGGACGCCUGUUAUGCCCUCAAGGGCCUGUAGAGUCUGGGAGGCCGCCUUCCGCCCUAAGCUCAGAAAGCACAUUGUUGGGCUCGCAGGGAGGCUGCCAGAGGUGAAAACAGCCAACGCUUUCAACGAUGCUGUAAGGGGCACUUCGUGUGUGACAUCCCGUCUCAUCCUCGGGUGAUGGGGCCCUAAGCCAAUCAGAAUGUUGAUUAAAGGAUUGUUAAGGUUUCACCUGGACACCCCAUCGAAGCCAGACUCCCUGCAAAUGUUAGAAACCUUCUCACAGCAGCAGAACUGUUCGGGGAAAUUGCAAACAGCUAAAUACCCCUCACCAGGAGCUGGUUCCUUAUAGCAACUCUGAGACCUCUACUGCGGGCUUUUAAAAUGGGAUACUGCGUUUCUCACAAAUUGAAGGGUUUUGGCAACCCUGCGUUGAGCAAAGUCUCCCGGCAUCAUUUUUUCAAAAGCAUGCUCAGUCUGUGUCUCUGUGCCAGAUUUUGGUAAUUCUUGCAAUAUUUCAAAGUUUGUUGUUAUAUCUAAUAUGGUGAUCUGAGCUCAGUAAUCUUUGCUGUUACUAUUGUAAUUGUUUUGAGGCACCAUGAAUGAUGCCUGUGUAAGAGGGCAAACUUAAUCCAUCAAUAUUGUAUGCAUUCUAACUGUUCCACCAACCAGCUGUUUGAAAUUAGUAAUCCUACAAUAGCCUCUAAGUGUUCAAAUGUAAGGAAGAGUUGCAAAUCUCCCACUUCACAUCAAGGGCUAGAAAUAGUUAAGCUCAGUGAGAAAGGCAUGUUGAAAGACAAGAUAAGCCUUUUUUUUUUUUUUUUUUUUAAAGUUUUUA